rnacentral:rRNA from 1 species
UACGGAGGUGGCAAGCGUUGCUCGGAUUUACUGGGUGUAAAGGGCACGUAGGCGGUUCUGUAAGCCCUGCUUGAAAUGCCAGGUCUCAAGCUUGGCAUGUGGUGGGGGACUGCAGGACUCGAGGACUGGAGAGGCAGACGGAAUUCCCGGUGUAAGGGUGAAAUCUGUAGAUAUCGGGAGGAACACCAGUGGCGAAGGCGGUCUGCUGGCCAGUAUCUGACGCUGAGGUGCGAAAGCUAGGGGAGCGAACAGG